rnacentral:rRNA from 1 species
GGAGCAAAACUCAAAAACUUAGUCUCAGUUCGGAUUGUAGGCUGAAACUCGCCUACAUGAAGCUGGAGUUGCUAGUAAUCGCGAAUCAGCAUGUCGCGGUGAAUACGUUCCCGGGCCUUGUACACACCGCCCGUCACACCAUGAGAGUUGGCAAUACCCAACGUACGUGAUCUAACCCGCAAGGGAGGAAGCGUCCUAAGGUAGGGUCAGCGAUUGGGGUGAAGUCGUAACAAGGUAUC